CAGGGGUAUACCCUGAUACCCCUACACCACCCGGGUUCUGAGCUACCAACGAGUUAGAAACCCACCAUCAUCUUGCCAACAGGUAACCAACCACAUUAACCAGCCAACUAACUACUCUUGCUCUUCUCUUCCCUAAGCAGGCCCCUUUACAUGCAAGAAUCACACUAUUUCCACAACCAGUGUGUAGUAGUGAGGAUGUGUAGCGCUAAAUAGUGUUCACUUACUCCCC